rnacentral:lncRNA from 1 species
UCUGUGGGAUUUAUCAUAAUCAUAAAAAUAUGAUGCACCAAAUAAUAAAACACAAUACCUCAUGAAUAAAAUAACUAAUAUCAUGCAAGUGAGCAGGAAAAUAACACAAAAAAAUUCGUUCGCAUCACCUAUGCGAUUGGCUUGUAGGGCACUAUUCUUUCAUAAAUAACAUCCCAGGCUAACAGAUGCACACCUCCUCUACCUAGACAUGCACCCC